CUAGAAUUUUUGAGAGACCAACCGGAGUCAAUGUAGUACAAGUAUAAUUAAUAUCUAAGAUAUUUUACUUCUUUUAUAGUGAACUUUGUUUGAUUUCAAAUUUGGAGAUUCUUUUUUUUACAUGAACUUUUAGUAAUUUCUCUUAUCUCUCCAACGCCACAAGAACACCUCAAUCGGACACUUGUAGCUCUAGAUAUUGCGAAAAUAGUGCAGACACCAAGCGUCGUUACGGGUUGGGGGAUUUCCUUGUGUUUUAGUUCUUUUGGGUUGGUUCUUGUGAUCUUGAAUGACCAAUUUGCGGAUAUUGAUAGAGGCCCACAACCCUUAGGCUUAACAUAGCCACAAAAAAUCAAUUUCAAACCCUAAACAAGUUUAGAGGUCGGUCCUAUGAAUCAAUCAAACUAGAAACAUUCUAUGUUCCCUCUCCUUUCUCAGUUCUUGUUCUCAAUGGUCCUUGGUUUGGAAGUUCUCUACAGAAAAUCAAAUGGAGUGUUGCUAUUGUGAUCCUUGCAUCUUCAUUAAGGAGAACAGAAUGUGCAAUCUACAAAGGAACAAAAAAGAUUGGAGUUCUCUUAUCCUAUUUUAGGAACACGAAAUUCUAAUUAGGUAAAGGGAAUUUGUUUUUCACUUAGUGAGUUUAGACAAUAUGAAUUAGCAAUAGGGGUGUCCCACGACCCCUACUCCUCACGUGGGAACACCGUUUUCUAAAAAAUUAUGUUUUGUUUUAUAUUAAUUGUACAUUUAUGUGAUGAUUGUUUUUGCUAAAAUAAGAGUAUUUUGGUGUUCCCUUAUCUGUUGAGAUAUUACAUAUUAAAAAUUGUCGCAAUUUGACGAGUUUUAGUAUGUGAAAAAAAUUAAGAAAUUCUUGUAGGACAAAUGGGCUGUUGCUGGAAACUUCUGUGUAUAAUAGUUUCCUUGCGUGAUUUUUUCACAAAUUCUAGGAUUUUAAUUUGUGGAUGGGACCAAUUGGUGUUGGUUCAUAUAUGAGCUACCUAUCUUCAAUAAAAAUAUAAAAAAAUUUAAAA